rnacentral:rRNA from 1 species
AGAGUUUGAUCCUGGCUCAGAGCGAACGCUGGCGGCGUGCUUAACACAUGCAAGUCGAACGAGGUUUGUAGCAAUACAAAUACUCGUGGCGAACGGGUGCGUAACACGUGGAUAAUCUUCCUUCAGGUGGGGAAUAACCCCGCGAAAGCGGGGCUAAUACCGCAUAACAUGACGAUGGCACAUGCUGUUGUCCUCAAAGC